rnacentral:rRNA from 1 species
ACUCCUACGGGAGGCAGCAGUCGGGGAAUAUUUGCACAAUGGGCGCAAGCCUGAUGCAGCCAUGCCGGCGUGUAUGAAGAAGGCCUUCGGGUUGUAAAGUACUUUCAGCAGUGAGGAAGGUGGGUAUGUUAAUAGCAUACCUCAUUUGACGUUAGCUGCAGAAGAAGCACCGGCUAACUCCGUGCCAGCAGCCGCGGUAAUACGGAGGGUGCGAGCGUUAAUCGGAAUUACUGGGCGUAAAGCGCAUGCAGGUGGUUUGUUAAGUCAGAUGUGAAAGCCCGGGGCUCAACCUCGGAAUUGCAUUUGAAACUGGCAAACUAGAGUACAUGUAGAGGGGGGUGAGAAUUUGAUCAGGUGUAGCGGUGAAAUGCGUAGAGAUCUGAAGGAAUACCGGU